UCACUAAUCAAGCUCUGCUUGGACUUGGGGCUCGCUAUACCGGCGGCUCUUAAAAUCAGUGGCGGUGCCGUCUGGCUCUAAGCGUAGUAAUAUUCCUCGCUAUAGAGUCCAGCCUUCCACCCGCCAAAACCCCCAAUUUUCUUA
rnacentral:misc_RNA from 1 species